ACGAACGCUGGCGGCGCGUCUUAAGCAUGCAAGUCGAGCGGGAUUCAUGUGCUUGCACGAUGAUGAGAGCGGCGGACUGGUGAGUAACACGUAGGUGACGUACCUUGAGGACGGGGACAGCCGGCAGAAAUGCCGGGUAAUACCGGAUAAGCUCGCGCGAGCUGGAGUCGCGCGAGGAAAGGAGCUAAGGCUCCGCCUCCAGAGCGGCCUGCGGCCCAUCAGCUUGUUGGCGGGUAAAGGCCCACCAAGGCGACGACGGGUAUCCGGCCUGAGAGGGUGAGCGGACACAUUGGGACUGAGAUACGGCCCAGACUCCUACGGGAGGCAGCAGCUAAGAAUAUUCCGCAAUGGGCGAAAGCCUGACGGAGCGACGCCGCGUGGACGAUGAAGGCCGGAAGGUUGUAAAGUCCUUUGGAGACCGAGGAAUAAGCGGGGAGGGAAUGCCCCGUGGUGACGGUAGGUCUAGAACAAGCACCGGCUAAUUACGUGCC
rnacentral:rRNA from 1 species